AGUGCGGAAGCGCCCAGCGGGCCGGGGGUUCCCUCCCGCGGGGCCUCCCGGGGCGGACCCGGGUGCGGCGGCCGAGAUGCGGGCGGUGGAGGGGGCAGGCCCCGACUCUUUCGCUCCCUCCGCGCCGCGGGCCGCCGGCCUGAGCUGGGAAAGGCGCGGCGGGCGGCUGGCGAGGAAGGAGGCCUCUGUCCUUUCACUUUGCUUCCCGGGCCAGGCCUCCAGCUGGAGCCGCACUGCCGCUCGGGGGCCGGGGCGAAGGUCCCUGCCGGAGCCUCCCGGAGGAGCGGCUGCCCCGCGGGCGGGGGAACGGUGCGGCCAACUCGCGGGGGCGAGCCCGGAGCCGGCGGAGACCGGAACCCGGGAACCCAGGCCCCGCGGCGCUAGCGCUGCCAGAAAACUCGCUGCGGCCGCGCCGGUCGGCCUACUUCGCCCCGGCUGUCCGCGCGCGGGACGUAGAAGAGCGCCCUGGCCGGGAAAGGUGGGGAGGGGCUUCAGGCUCUUUCUUGCUGGAGUAGGGUGCGGAAUCCCGUACCGCUUUACAGCUGCUGGCCCCCUAGGACCCCGCGGCGCAGGCCGGAUCCCAGAGGCGGGGAUAGGAGCCAAUAGCUGAUACAGACAAAAAAAUAAAAAGCAGCUGUACCUCAUUGCGCAUGUGCGAGCUUCGUUUUUUUUUUUAAUUUUUUGACGUCAUUUCGCGAUAUCAAGUCCCAAGCCAAAAUGUCUUGUGCGUUGGUUACUCUGAAGAAUAAUGGACUGUAUGUUCUGACUCCUGGAAAUUACUGCAAAAAGAUUAUCUGAGCCGAGAGUGAGCUCCGCUAAAACGUAGGCUAAAUUCGAGGACACGGUGGCACUACAUCUCAUUCUUUCAGAGGAGAUGCUUGCACUACAGUUUGGACCCUUGCUUUUUGACAUUUCAGAGAAAACAUCUAAAUAUUGCUAAAGCUGGAUUACUUUACCUCCUACUCCAAUAUUACCUAAUUUUUUUACGGUGAAAAAAUAAAAGUUCC
rnacentral:lncRNA from 1 species